rnacentral:misc_RNA from 1 species
GAUGAAGAACGUAGCGAAAUGCGAUACGUAAUGUGAAUUGCAGAAUUCAGUGAAUCAUCGAGUCUUUGAACGCACAUUGCGCCCCCUGGUAUUCCGGGGGGCAUGCCUGUCCGAGCGUCAUUGCUGCCCUCAAGCACGGCUUGUGUGUUGGGCCUCCGCCCCCCGGCUCCCGGGGGGCGGGCCCGAAAGGCAGCGGCGGCACCGCGUCCGGUCCUCGAGCGUAUGGGGCUUCGUCGCCCGCUCCGUAGGCCCGGCCGGCGCCCGCCGGCGACCCCCCUCAAUCUUUCCAGGUUGACCUCGGAUCAGGUAGGGAUACCCGCUGAACUUAAGCAUAUCAAUAAGCGGAGGA